GGGUGUACGGCAAAGGCAGCAGCAGGUGGCCCAAGAGCCUGAGUUCCUGAAGCAGCUGCCUCGGCUCAGCCCAGCUCUACCCCUUCCUGCGUGGCAUAAGAUUAGAAGAGGCUGUUCCUAAGUGGAAAAACAACGGCCUCUCCUGCAGGGUAAUAAGGAAGAAGACACCUUUCAGGAGAAACUGGUUGAGGACAAGCAGGUGCCCUGCAGCUUCCAUCACCAGACAGAGGAUCAGCUGGAAGAACUGAGCACCUCUGUUCAACGGGCCUCUUAUUUCAAGUUGACCACAGUGGUUUAGGUAUUGAGUGAGGGGAAAUGGUGCUAUUUAUUGAUUCCUACCAAUCUCCACACUAUGUGCCACGACACAGAGAAAUACCUUAAUCAAGACAGAGUUCCUUCCCAAGCAUAUGGAGUCUGGAGCUGAAGCAGUUAUCCUGGGUCACAAAGCAGAAUCUGUCCGUCGAGGAUGGUGGCCUACAAGAUAGAACGUUACGGUUCCUGAUGGCUAUGGAGACAUCAUGCCAGCCCAGCCCACGGUUUCUGACACUGCCAUUUGUGUGAGACAGACAGAAUCCCCACUUGUUGAAGUCACUGUUAUUUUGGAAUUUGUGUCAUUUUUGGUCAAACCUUGGGAUGAAUCACUGCAAUGAUAUGUUUCCUUUUCUAAUAAUUUCUUAAUCUCAAUGGAUUGUAAUGGCAGGGUAGAUAAUAACAUUUGUAGAUAAAACCUCAAAAACCCCACAGUGCUUUCUAUGUACUCCUUCUUAGGAAGUUCCUGGAGUAAACCAGUUAAGAGGAAGACAUGGGAUCCUGGGAACAGGGAGUCCAACACAGAAGAGAGGUAAAAGGACUUUCUCCCACUGGGACUGGCGCAAAGCUCCAGGACAAGAGCCCGGGAAAAGUCUGGAAGGCAGCCUGCCAUGACUGGAGCAGAAGAGUGGAGGGAACCGGGAGAGACGAUCCCAGGGGAAGAAGGGAACUGGUAGAACAUCUCAUGAAUUUGACCAUCAGGAAGUUUUACAAUUCCGGGGAGAGUUUUAACGAGUCCACCUUCCAUCACCUCCCCUGAUGUCCUUGGUGUGGUUCGUGAGGAAAUCAGCUUCGGUCCGUCCAGUGUCUGUUAUACACCGGGCACUGGGCUAAGUGCUUCGCGUGUUUUACACUCAUGGGUUUUGCCCUACAUCUAUGGACAUUCAUUCUUCCUUUGGUGCUGAAAAUGCCAGUCACUUGCUCCCCUGGGCUUCCUUGCAGUAAGGACACAUGGUCUAAUCUCCUAUGAAAUAAUAUAUGGCCAUUUAAAGUCACGAUGCAGAAGACGGUUUAUGGACAUGAGAAAAUACUCUCAAUGUAUUAUGCAAAAGGAAGCAAAUAAUCAAAGAUAAUGAAAUAACUACUUAAUCAAUUGUUAAUGAAAAUAAAAAGGACUAACAACUAUAAA